rnacentral:rRNA from 1 species
AGGAAUCUGCCCUAGAGUGGGGAACAACUCCGCGAAAGCGGAGCUAAUACCGCAUAAUUUUCAUACUUUCGAGUAUGAAACAAAGCAGGGGACCUUUCGGGGCCUUGCGCUUUAGGAUGAGCCUGCGUCAGAUUAGCUUGUUGGUGGGGUAAAAGCCUACCAAGGCGAUGAUCUGUAGCUGGUCUGAGAGGACGAUCAGCCACAUUGGGACUGAGACACGGCCCAA